rnacentral:rRNA from 1 species
UACGUAGGUGGCAAGCGUUGUCCGGAUUUACUGGGCGUAAAGAGCGCGCAGGCGGCCGAGUAAGUCGAAUGUGAAAGCCCCCGGCUCAACUGGGGAAGGUCAUUCGAUACUGUUCGGCUUGAAGAUAGGAGAGGGAAGCGGAAUUUCAGGUGUAGUGGUGAAAUGCGUAGAUAUCUGAAGGAACACCAGUGGCGAAGGCGGCUCUCUGGCCUAUUCUUGACGCUGAGGCGCGAAAGCCAGGGGAGCAAACGGG